rnacentral:rRNA from 1 species
AACCGAGAACUCCUACGGGAGGCAGCAGUAGGGAAUCUUGCGCAAUGGGCGAAAGCCUGACGCAGCCAUGCCGCGUGAAUGAUGAAGGUCUUAGGAUUGUAAAAUUCUUUCACCGGGGACGAUAAUGACGGUACCCGGAGAAGAAGCCCCGGCUAACUUCGUGCCAGCAGCCGCGGUAAUACGAAGGGGGCUAGCGUUGCUCGGAAUUACUGGGCGUAAAGGGCGCGUAGGCGGACAGUUUAGUCAGAGGUGAAAGCCCAGGGCUCAACCUUGGAAUUGCCUUUGAUACUGGCUGUCUUGAGUACGGGAGAGGUGAGUGGAACUCCGAGUGUAGAGGUGAAAUUCGUAGAUAUUCGGAAGAACACCAGUGGCGAAGGCGACUCACUGGCCCGUUACUGACGCUGAGGCGCGAAAGCGUGGGGAGCAAACAGGAUUAGAAACCCUAGUAGUCCGACUGAGA